rnacentral:pre_miRNA from 1 species
AGUGAGAUAGCUGGGUCAAAUGGUGGUUCCAUUCCGAGUUUUCCAAAGAAUCUCCAAAAUGUUUUCCAGAUUGGUUGCACCAAUUUUCAAUCCCACCAGCAAC